rnacentral:rRNA from 1 species
GACGAACGCUGGCGGCGUGCUUAACACAUGCAAGUCGAACGGUAAGGCCCUUCGGGGUACACGAGUGGCGAACGGGUGAGUAACACGUGGGUGAUCUGCCCUGCACUUCGGGAUAAGCCUGGGAAACUGGGUCUAAUACCGGAUAGGACUCCUGGCUUCAUGGUUGGGGGUGGAAAGCUUUUGCGGUGUGGGAUGGGCCCGCGGCCGAUCAGCUGGUUGGGGGGGUAAUGGCCUACCAAGGCGGCGACGGGUAACCGGCCUGUGAGGGUGACCGGUCACACUGGGACUGAGAUACGGCCCAGACUCCUACGGGAGGCAGCAGAGGGGAAUAUUGCACAAUGGGCGCAAGCCUGAUGCAGCGACGCCGCGUGAGGGAUGACGGCCUUCGGGUUGUAAACCUCUUUCAGCUAUGACGAAGCGCAAGUGACGGUAGUAGCAGAAGAAGGACCGGCCAACUACGUGCCAGCAGCCGCCGUAA